GUAUACGAUGAUGGAAAAGCUUGC
rnacentral:siRNA from 1 species